rnacentral:misc_RNA from 1 species
GAUGAAGAACGCAGUGAAAUGCGAUAGGUAAUGUGAAUUGCAGAAUUCAGUGAAUCAUCAAAUCUUUGAACGCACAUUGCGCCCUUUGGUAUUCCUUAGGGCAUGCCUGUUCGAGCGUCACUACACACCUUAUCACAAUAUUUGUGGUCUUGGCAGGAGUGAAUUGCUGGUCUAUGGAAGUAUUCCAGCAGUACACAAUGCUAAAAAAUAUGGGAAGGUUACCAGAUAUGAACAACAGACUUUGUAAAUGGUUGUAGGACCUAGAUCAGUCACAAGUCAUGUCUGGUCCCUUACCUUAAGGACCCCCAUCCUAGAUGAACUAUGGGUUGACCUCGGAUCAGGUAGGAAUACCCGCUGAACUUAAGCAUAUCAAUAAGCGGAGGA